AUCCAGUUGGCAGCACGGUCAAUUGGCAUCAGUUGGACAUUUUGCACAUUUGCUAUACGCAAUUUGUAAUUUGUUUGAAACUUUAAGUUGCAUUUAACGAAACGAAUGAACAGGGUACAGAAGUAUAGCAAAGGCAUUUUUACUGGCAAAAGUAUCCCUUUGUGUGGAUUGAGAAAAAUACAUAAGCAGUUUUUAAAAUAGUUGCCGUAUUCCAAAUCGUGGUGCAUUUUUGUGUGUGAUGGAUAAAGAGACGCAGUUUUCGUGAAGUUGUAUGCAUUAAGCAAUCAUAACAGGAAAAACGAAAAACUACAACAUAGUCACAGUUUGAAAAAAAGGGUGGAGCUGAUAGAAAGGAACAAAGCUAUCAUACAUGAUAAGCAAAAAGGAACCUCAACUUUUUGGAAUGAUAUUGCCAAAGAUCUGAAUCUCUUAGGACCCCCGACUAAAGACGGUUCUGGGUGGAAAAAGGAAAGUAGUCAACAAGUCUUCAACAUUUUGGAACUAUUGAGCAUGUUUAUUAUGUAUUUAUAUGCAUUUUAAUCGUUCACGAUACAGGUAUGGGCAGAUUUUAGAUCGGGGAUGAAGAAAAAAGCUAUCGCACAAUAGCCGCGAGUAUAGAGCAACUGGAGGAGGACCAUGCACGAUGCAUAGUUUUUCUGCACUUGAAAGUCACGUUAUUGACAUCUUGCAGUUAAAAGAUAGCGUUGUUGGGCUAAACACUAAAGGGUUAGGAGCACCAUCUAAUUCAUCAGGUUCAGCACCUAUCUCUGUUCGGAAAACACCGUUGGCAGAAAGGCCAUCACAAUCAACAACCCAACCAAUUUCACUCUCAUCACCAUUGCCUGCGUCACCAUCUCGUGCAGCACCAACUCCACAGGUUAUGGAGUUAACGUCAUCACCAUCUCUACAGCAUCUAAACCAAACGAAUGACAAUGAAAGAACACCACAGAGAUCAUCUCAGUCAGGGCAAAAUAACACAAAUCAACGUACAACACGACGCAAAAGAACAAUAGCUGAAUUGCAAUUGCUAGAACAUAAGCAUUAUGGUCGAAUUAAACAGCAGCAAAAUAUUAUUCGCCAACAACAGCUAGAUUUGGAUAAGGAAAGACUAGAUUUAGAAAAACAAAAAUUUGAAUUCGAAAAAUAAAUAGAAUUAAAAAAUAUGGAAUUAAAACAAGCAAAGCUUGAUCAAAAAAGAGAAGAAUUGAAUCUCACAAGGGAGUUAGCGUAGAAAGACCGCGAGUUAAAAUUAACCAUAGCCAAAGUGGAGCUAGAGCUAGGGUAUAAACAAAUUAGUAAAGAAUAAAUGCGAACUUUAAUGUAACCAAUAAAUACAAUUCCUAACCCAAUUUGUGAAAACUUGUUUAGUCUCUACAAUGCUCACACUUCUAACGCCGAGAAGAUAGCCAGGCAUGAAAAAGCAGCUCAUUUACAUAUUAAUCAGACGCUACUACAGCUUCGCCAGGCUACGAUGCAAUCUUUGAGCUUGGUCAUCGAGUGUCAUGCACAUAACAUUCACAGUUCAUCGUGGCCUAGUGAGUUUGAUUCAUUUCAUGACGGGGAGAUAUGUUGACAUACAUGUCAUAUAGCUUUAUACCUAGUAUAGCUUAUACCGGGUCCACCAUCGUCGUUUGACGCGGUUCAAAGUGCUUCGUAAAUUUUGGAGUGGCCUCAAAGGUAUGCGCAAAAGUGUUAAAAAGUAACGAUAUAGUCACAGCCGGUAUGAUUCUGCUCGUAGGUUGAUUCUGCUCGGUAUGGAUGUAGAAAAACAUUGCUGAUACGGGAAUGGAUCUUUCUGUAGGAUAACAAACACUCUCCUCUGUCCGUCCCAUCUAAGAAGUUUAAAAAGCCUCAGUAUUAGUGUAUUUAAUUUCGCAAAUAAUGCAUUAUAGUUGAGGUUGAUUGUAUAACAAAGCAGCAAAUUAAUCUGAUGCUAUCUAAUGCACACUGAGCAUAAUGUCAUUGCUGAUUCCACUCCAAAUUAUGCUCAACACAUAUGUUGUGCAAUGCACUGCAAACAUUUUUGAUUUUUCCACAUUUUUCUGGUGCAUAAUUAAGGCAACCGUCUAUACCAUUAAGACAUCUAAAUCUCGAUUUUAAUAUUCCUAUAGUCAUCUCUACGAGUAUCCGGCCAGAGGAAUGAGAUGAGUUGAAUAAUGCUUCUUCAGAACCAGGAUCAGGAUCUCUAUGUGGUCUACCAAGCCAAGGUUCUCCUGGGUACCUGGCGUCACCUGUGUCAAAAUAGUAGUACUAUAAUUACGCAAGUCGGUAUAGGUGUACUGAUUUAAAUUACCAAGUAAUUUAUCAAUUCUUCCGGUUCUGUGUAGUUCUUCGAAAUGUUUUCGAGCAGCACUCACUCCCCAUACAAAAGCAUCGUGAUAGCUGCCUGUAAAUUUGGCAUUGAUUGAUCGUAUGCGACAUUUAUGAUCACAAAACUAGAAUUAAACAAACCAGUACUUCAUACCAUAAAACCAUUAUUUUACACAUGAUUCCACAUCGGAAGUUAAAACAAACAUAACGUUGAGGCUAUAAAAUCGUUUUCGAUUGAUGUACAAUAGAGGUCGGUGGUGUGGUUUUUUUUUUUUAAAUUUUUAUGUGUGUACAAUUGAUGCACAUAGUAAUGUAGGCAAUGCCUGUUUUGCGGUGGAAAUAUUCCUUGGAAUUAUUUCUUUCGUCCUCAUUCAUCGUCAAUGAAAUCCAAUCACCGAGAAAAUGCGUCGCUUCUUUCCAUCGAGGAUAACCAUAUGCAUAAAUCCAACGCCUCCGACGGCUCCGACGGCUCCGACGGCUCCGACGGGUGCAACGGCUCCAACGGCUCCGAAGGCUCCGGACGGCUCCGGACGGCGCCGACGGCUCCGACAGCUCCGGACGGCUCCGAAUGCUCCAGCUGUCGACUAGUGGCUCCGGACGGCUCCGACGGCUCUGGGCGGAAUCGACCGUUUGAAUUAUUCGGAAUCGGAGCCGGAGUAGCAUUGCUCGGAAGCGAUUCCGAGCCGUGGGUGCGAUUCCGGUGACCCAUCAUGUGUAUAUCGUGAAAUUUGCGUAUGUUUUUCCACGAUAGCUAGAUGUCCGAACAAAGUCUCUACGCAUGACAUAAAAAAAGGAUUUAACUGCGAAUGUAUCGUCCAGGGCGCGCGCGAGAGACGCAUCACUGUCCUGUGCAGUACUACUCAGGAGGCUCGAGAUGCUAAAAUUAUAUUUGCGAAUGUUGUCACAAUAAUGAUAAGAAUGAAUACAUGUAUGUUUUCUUAAAAAUGUAAUGUUUUAUAUUUUAUGCUUAUUUUUUUAAUAUUUUAUGAUUUGCAAAUGAUGAUCAAAACAGCAUGUAUGUACAUAUUCGUAGAAAACUUUUAUUUUAUUACAAAAUGUGCAAAGUACGUUGAAAAUUACAACGUUAUUAUUAAAAUUAAAUACGUCAAUUAAUGUAUAAAUACAUAUGUAAAUCCAUCACUUAAUCCAAAACUCGAACUGCCUGAGAGCGAGAGAACAGUACGAUGUGUAGUUCGUGUAUAGUUCGCCAAUAAAAAAGUAAAACGUUUUAUGUUCUAUU